GGGCCAAGCAGUAAGUCAGGAUGUGAGUCAAAUGCUUACAUCCGGGUUGACAAGCUGUGAUGGGGAGCGAAAUUACAGUAGCGAAGUUGCCGAUGUCACACUGCCGAGAAAAGCUUCUAAGGAGCACGUUAACUGCCCGUACCGCAAACCGACACAGGUAGUCGAGGAGAGAAUCCUAAGGUGAGCGAGUGAACUCUCGUUAAGGAACUCGGCAAAAUGACCCCGUAACUUCGGGAGAAGGGGUGCUGGUCGCAAGACCAGCCGCAGUGAAUAGGCCCAGGCGACUGUUUAUCAAAAACACAGGUAUCUGCAAAAUCGUAAGAUGACGUAUAGGUGCUGACACCUGCCCGGUGCUGGAAGGUUAAGAGGAGAGCUUAGCGCAAGCGAAGGUUUGAAUUGAAGCCCCAGUAAACGGCGGCCGUAACUAUAACGGUCCUAAGGUAGCGAAAUUCCUUGUCGGGUAAGUUCCGACCUGCACGAAAGGUGUAAUGAUUUGGGCACUGUCUCAACGAGAGACUCGGUGAAAUUAUAAUACCCGUGAAGAUGCGGGUUACCCGCGACAGGACGGAAAGACCCCAUGGAGCUUUACUGUAGCUUGAUAUUGAGUAUUUGUUAAACAUGUACAGGAUAGGUAGGAGCCAGAGAAAGUAGGACGCUAGUCUUACUGGAGGCAAUGUUGGGAUACUACCCUUGUUUGAUGGAUCCUCUAACUCACAGAGCUGAGCGUUCUGGAGGACAGUGUCAGGUGGGCAGUUUGACUGGGGCGGUCGCCUCCUAAAAUGUAACGGAGGCGCCCAAAGGUUCCCUCAGAAUGGUUGGAAAUCAUUCGCAGAGUGUAAAGGUAUAAGGGAGCUUGACUGCGAGAGGUACACCUCGAGCAGGGACGAAAGUCGGGCUUAGUGAUCUGGUGGUACUGCAUGGAAAGGCCAUCACUCAACGGAUAAAAGCUACCCUGGGGAUAACAGGCUUAUCUCCCCCAAGAGUUCACAUCGACGGGGAGGUUUGGCACCUCGAUGUCGGCUCGUCGCAUCCUGGGGCUGAAGUCGGUCCCAAGGGUUGGGCUGUUCGCCCAUUAAAGCGGCACGCGAGCUGGGUUCAGAACGUCGUGAGACAGUUCGGUCCCUAUCCGUCGUGGGCGUAGGAAAUUUGAGAGGAGCUGUCCUUAGUACGAGAGGACCGGGAUGGACAUACCGCUGGUGUACCAGUUGUCUUGCCAAAGGCAUCGCUGGGUAGCUAUGUAUGGAAGGGAUAAGCGCUGAAAGCAUCUAAGUGCGAAGCCCCCCUCAAGAUGAGAUUUCCGAUGCGUAAGCAGUAAGACACCUUAAAGACGAUGAGGUAGAUAGGCUAGGAGUGGAAGCAUAGCGAUAUGUGGAGCGGACUAGUACNNNNNNNNNNNNNNNNNNNNN
rnacentral:rRNA from 1 species